CCUACGGGGGGGCUGCAGUGAGGAAUAUUGGUCAAUGGGCGGGAGCCUGAACCAGCCAAGUCGCGUGAGGGACGACGGUCCUAUGGAUUGUAAACCUCUUUUGUCGGGGAACAAAGGCGCCCACGGGUGGGCGGAUGAGUGUACCCGAAGAAAAAGCAUCGGCUAACUCCGUGCCAGCAGCCGCGGUAAUACGGAGGAUGCGAGCGUUAUCCGGAUUUAUUGGGUUUAAAGGGUGCGUAGGCGGACAGUCAAGUCAGCGGUAAAAAUGCGAUGCUCAACGCCGUACAGCCGUUGAAACUGGCAGUCUUGAGUGGGCGAGAAGUAUGCGGAAUGCGUGGUGUAGCGGUGAAAUGCAUAGAGAUCAUACAGAACACCGAUUGCGAAGGCAGCUUACCAAACUACGACUGACGUUGAGGCACGAAAGCGUGGGGAGCAAACAGGAUUAGAUACCCGAGUAGUC
rnacentral:rRNA from 1 species